AAGAUUACAUCUUUGCAGUGUCGCUAGGUGCACUAUAAGGUGAGGAUGAUUUCUGUACAUAGGUUUCUUUGAUGCUCAGUCCACCAAUGAAUGAUCACCGCUUGUGUGUCGUGUUGUCCCCCACUCCGCUGCUAAUAAAACUGGAAGUGCUGCUCUGUUCCAGUCUUGCAAUUUGCAAAAACAAAGGAAGACGGAGAAGGAGAGACCGCUUCGGAGGGAGGAGCAGAAGACCCUGCACCGGGCUUCACGGUGCGCCUUUCGAGAGUGCUUAUCACCUUGGUGAUGAUUGGAUUGAAUUGGAAUCCUUGCAAGCCCCCAUGGACAGCGCAGAUGACGACUACGGAUCUCGACAGCGACGAGAAGCGGUCCUUCUCGGAGUGUCGGCGGAACCUCGGUAGGUUCAUGUACUUCGUCUUCCUUGUUUCUGUCCUUCCUAGAGUGAAGGCAGGACCUCGCUAGGUUUGUGGGUUCGUCAUCCUUGUUUCAAGCAGUCGUAUUGUACAAAAUUUGUUGUGAUGGGUGAUACUAUUAAUUUUGUUACGGCGUUGUUUCUAUAACCAUGUCAAGGUAGAACCUACGUCAUGUCUUACAAGAUAUAAAACCAGGUUUACUAUAA